CCUGGCGACGAGUGGCGAACGGGUGAGUAAUAUAUCGGAACAUACCCUAGAGUGGGGGAUAACGUAGCGAAAGUUACGCUAAUACCGCAUACGAACUGAGGUUGAAAGUGGGGGAUCGCAAGACCUCAUGCUCAUGGAGUGGCCGAUAUCUGAUUAGCUAGUUGGUAGGGUAAAAGCCUACCAAGGCGACGAUCAGUAGCUGGUCUGAGAGGACGACCAGCCACACUGGAACUGAGACACGGUCCAGACUCCUACGGGAGGCAGCAGUGGGGAAUUUUGGACAAUGGGCGCAAGCCUGAUCCAGCAAUGCCGCGUGAGUGAAGAAGGCCUUCGGGUUGUAAAGCUCUUUUGUCAGGGAAGAAACGGUGGUUCCUAAUACGGACUACUAAUGACGGUACCUGAAGAAUAAGCACCGGCUAACUACGUGCCAGCAGCCGCGGUAAUACGUAGGGUGCAAGCGUUAAUCGGAAUUACUGGGCGUAAAGCGUGCGCAGGCGGUUAUAUAAGUCAGAUGUGAAAUCCCCGGGCUCAACCUGGGAACUGCAUUUGAGACUGUAUGGCUAGAGUGUGUCAGAGGGGGGUAGAAUUCCACGUGUAGCAGUGAAAUGCGUAGAUAUGUGGAGGAAUACCGAUGGCGAAGGCAGCCCCCUGGGAUAACACUGACGCUCAUGCA
rnacentral:rRNA from 1 species